rnacentral:rRNA from 1 species
UACAGAGGGUGCAAGCGUUGUUCGGAAUCAUUGGGCGUAAAGGGCGCGUAGGCGGCCUUGUAAGUUGGAUGUGAAAGCCCAGGGCUCAACCUUGGAAGUGCAUCCAAAACUGCAGGGCUAGAGUAUCGGAGAGGGUGGUAGAAUUCCCAGUGUAGAGGUGAAAUUCGUAGAUAUUGGGAGGAAUACCGGUGGCGAAGGCGACCGCCUGGACGAAUACUGACGCUGAGGCGCGAGAGCGUGGGGAGCAAACAGG